UUGGAAUAUUGCACAAUGGGGGAAACCCUGAUGCAGCGACGCCGCGUGAGGGAAGAAGGUUUUCGGAUUGUAAACCUCUGUCUUCGGGGACGAAAAUGACGGUACCCGAGGAGGAAGCCACGGCUAACUACGUGCCAGCAGCCGCGGUAAUACGUAGGUGGCAAGCGUUGUCCGGAAUUACUGGGUGUAAAGGGAGCGUAGGCGGGCCCGCAAGUUGAAUGUUAAAACGAUCGGCUCAACCGGUCGAUGCGUUCAAAACUAUGGGUCUUGAGUGAAGUAGAGGCAGGCGGAAUUCCCGGUGUAGCGGUGGAAUGCGUAGAUAUCGGGAGGAACACCAGUGGCGAAGGCGGCCUGCUGGGCUUUAACUGACGCUGAGGCUCGAAAGCAUGGGGAGCAAAC
rnacentral:rRNA from 1 species